CCUACGGGUCGCAGCAGUGGGGAAUAUUGCACAAUGGGCGAAAGCCUGAUCCAGCAAUGCCGCGUGUGUGAAGAAGGUCUUCGGAUUGUAAAGCACUUUCGACGGGGACGAUGAUGACGGUACCCGUAGAAGAAGCCCCGGCUAACUUCGUGCCAGCAGCCGCGGUAAUACGAAGGGGGCUAGCGUUGCUCGGAAUGACUGGGCGUAAAGGGCGCGUAGGCGGUUUAUGCAGUCAGAUGUGAAAUCCCCGGGCUUAACCUGGGAACUGCAUUUGAGACGCAUAGACUAGAGGUCGAGAGAGGGUUGUGGAAUUCCCAGUGUAGAGGUGAAAUUCGUAGAUAUUGGGAAGAACACCAGUGGCGAAGGCGGCUCUCUGGUCUGUAACUGACGCUGAGGCGCGAAAGCGUGGGGAGCAAACAGGAUUAGAUACCCGGGUAGUC
rnacentral:rRNA from 1 species